rnacentral:rRNA from 1 species
GAAGGUUCGUCCGCCCUGGGUAAGUCGGGACCUAAGGCGAGGCCGAAAGGCGUAGUGGAUGGAAAGCAGGCGAAAGAUUCCUGCACCCGUAUAUGGAGCGAAGGAGUGACGGAGACGGAUAGUGUGACCCUCUUAAUGGAUUGAGGGCGAAGCGAAGCGGCUGGUUACCAGGCAAAUCCGGUAACCAUAAGGCUAGAGCGUGAUAGGUAAGCGAAAUCUUAGGAGAGUAGCGAAGCACAUGAUGACGGCUUCCAGGAAAAGCUUCUGGCAAUGCAUAUGCGGCCCGUACCAAAACCGACACAGGUGGGCAGGGAGAGAAUCCCGAGGUGAGCGAGAGAACUGUUGCCAAGGAACUCGGCAAAAUGACUCCGUAAGUUAGCGAGAAGGAGUGCUUAAGCAAUUAAGCCGCAGUGAAGAGGCCCAAGCGACUGUUUAACUAAAACACAGCUCUCUGCGAAGUCGCAAGACGAAGUAUAGGGGGUGACACCUGCCCGGUGCUGGAAGGUUAAGAGGAUCUGUUAAGAGCGAUCUGAAGCAGUGAUCCGAAGCCCCAGUGAACGGCGGCCGUAACUAUAACGGUCCUAAGGUAGCGAAAUUCCUUGUCAGGUAAGUUCUGACCCGCACGAAAGGUGUAACGAUUUGGGCGCUGUCUCGGCAGCAGACUCGGUGAAAUCUUAGUACCUGUGAAAAUGCAGGUUACCCGCAACUAGACGGAAAGACCCCAUGGAGCUUUACUGCAGCCUGAUAUUGAAUUCUGGUCAUACAUGUACAGGAUAGGUGGGAGACAAAGAGACGUGCACGCCAGUGUACGAGGAGUCGACGUUGGGAUACCACUCUUGUGUGACCGGGGUUCUAACCUGGUAUCGAGAACAGGUACGGGGAGAGUGUCAGGUGGGCAGUUUGACUGGGGCGGUCGCCUCCCAAAGAGUAACGGAGGCGCCCAAAGGUACGCUCAGAUUGGAUGGAAACCAAUCGUCGAGUGCAAUUGCAGAAGCGUGCUUGACUGUGAGACUUACAAGUCGAACAGGGACGAAAGUCGGGAAUAGUGAUCCGGCGGUGCCGAAUGGAAGGGCCGUCGCUCAACGGAUAAAAGCUACCCUGGGGAUAACAGGCUGAUCUCGCCCAAGAGUUCACAUCGACGGCGAGGUUUGGCACCUCGAUGUCGGCUCAUCGCAUCCUGGGGCUGGAGUAGGUCCCAAGGGUUGGGCUGUUCGCCCAUUAAAGCGGUACGCGAGCUGGGUUCAGAACGUCGUGAGACAGUUCGGUCCCUAUCUGUUGUGGGCGAAGGAGAUCUGCGGAGAGCUGUCCUCAGUACGAGAGGACCGGGAUGGACCUACCGCUGGUGCACCGGUUGUUCCGCCAGGGGCAUAGCCGGGUAGCUAAGUAGGGAAAGGAUAAGCGCUGAAAGCAUCUAAGCACGAAGCCUACUCCAAGAUGAGAUCUCCCAUUCGCAAGAAGUAAGACCCCUUAAAGACGAUAAGGUAGAUAGGCCAGAGAUGGAAGUGCAGUGAUGUACGGAGUUGACUGGUACUAAUCGGUCGAGGACUUAAUC